AUGAAGCAGUCUAGGUCAGAUGCAUAUCAAUUCCUAAAAUUGUUUUCUUGUCCCUCAUCCAUGGGCAGCAUUAGAAACUGGUUCUUGGCGUGCCAGAUACAAUCUUCUUGUAAUCAAUUGAACAAGAAAAACAAAAGGAUAAAAACAGAGAAGAGCGGAAGAAUGAUGUCUAUGAGAUUUUACUUAAUAUACUUCCAAGUGUCGCCAUAA